rnacentral:lncRNA from 1 species
AAGGAAUGUAAGUAGGGAUCGUUCUAGGCCGGGGAUUAGGAGGGAUUGCUCAAUCACUUAAAAAUUGACUCAAAACGUAAAACAAAGUUUAAAACACUAAACUAGACUCAAAGAAUGCAAAACUAAACUCUAAAACACUAAAACAAACCAAAAGACUCAAAACUGCCUUAAAAACACAAUUGGGCAAUUUUGAACACAAGCACAAAUUUGGACGAAAAUAGGUUAUAACUUGACUCAAGACACUUAAAAACACAAACUAAAUUGAUUUCUAACUAAGAUGACUCAACAAAAUAAAGGGAGAUUUGGUUUUGACGAAAUUAAAAACAAAACAGAAACUUUGUAACUUGAACAGGUUUUAAAACGAAUUUGAUAAAAGUGAAUGGAUGGAAAGCUAGCUAAGGGGUUCUUCUCCACACAUGUCACACUUGCAUACAAAAUGAUUUCCAAUUGCUUUUGAAUAACCCAUGAAUUCUCAACACCCCAAGUUAAUUAGAUACGCUUAAAUUAACUUUCAGAUUUCCCUUAAGUCAAUGAAUUGGAUGGAAAAAGCGCAUCGUAACCAAAUUAUUCCUCAAAAUUUCCCUACAUGAAAGCGCAUAAUAGAGAUACAAUCAAAGAUCAUUACGUUCAAUGGAAAUCAUAAGUAUUGACGAGGCACUCGUAACUAUGAAAGCGCAUGAAACUUAUGCCAAGAAUUUACUUAACACGAUUAUGAUCAACAACCUUUACUACUUACGAAUAUAAGUUCAUAACGAUUAGGUGAAACUCCCUUAUAUCCUAGGAUUAGAUUUAUUCAUGAAAAUUAAGCGUGCACUCUCAACAAACAUGCACAAAUCAGUUUAAUUCAAAUAGAUAAGCAAAUUGAAUCCACAACUUAUGAAACGCAAUUGAAAGUAAUCAAAUCAUAUAGCAAGCAUAAACAUGGUUUCGAAUCCCCCCCUAGCCAAGGGAUUUAGUUCCUCAUAUGCACAAAGCAAGGAUAAAUAAGUUUAGACAUUGAAAUUCAAAGAAAGGAAACACCUAGACACUCCAACUUGGGCAGCAGGUGCAUCCACGAAGUUCCUCCUUCCUCCUUGCUGCGGCAUAGAGAUUAUGGACAGGUUUUGGGUGGUAUUUGUAUGGGGGAAUGGAUAUGGAAUGGUAUGAGAGUGGUUAGGGUGGAUGAUAGGUGCGGCAAGGGUUUGUUUUUGGCAGAAAUUAGGGAGAAUGGUGAUGGAAGGCUGCGGCAGAGAGUGGGGAUGAUUUCUGGCGUGAUUUAUGUAUUAUGAUGGGUGGUGGUUCGGCUAGGGAUGAGAUAUGAGUAUAUAUAGUCAUCUAAAACCCUAGGGUAAUCAGAUAUGGACUUGGAUAACCCAAGUCCACAAGGAAAAAGGCUUAGAAAUCAGAAUCCACAAGGAAAAAGACCUAGGGGGUGCGGCAGGUUUGGAUAGGGUAAGAUAAGGCUUCUAGAAAGCCUUGCAAGGCAAGGAAAAGGGUUCUAGAAAGGGGUAAGUGCGACAAGGAUUAGGGGAAAAAGGAUAGGGCUUCUAGAAACCCAAAACCAAGAGGAAAUAGACCCUAACCCACGGCAAGGAUAAGGAAAUGCUCUCCAACCUUUCUUUGUGUCUUCCAACGCUUAAGAACCUUCUAAUGUUGCUGAAACUUAAGGCCAUUUAGGUUUAGGAAAGAUCAACCCAAAAUAGCAACUUUUAGGCUUAACUUUCCUACUUCAAGUAGGAAACCUUGUUUGAGUAGGAAUCCUCAUUCUUCUAGGAAUCCAUCUUCAACUAGGAAUCCCUUGUUGAUUAGGAAUCCUUCUUCAAUUAGGACUCCUUCUUGGACUAGGAAUCCUCAAAUCUUCAAAUCUUCAAUUUUGUCCAAACCUUUUGUCCCAAGCAUGUGCUAUUCAAUCCAAGCUCACUUUUGCUCCAAAAAGCUCCAAUUUGCAACUUUUUGUAAAAUAUGCCCUUAAAACCUGAAAACACAUGAAAAUAGCUUAAAAGACUACUUUAACUAAGAAAACAUAACGAAAAUGCAUAAGAACUAGCUAACUAAGGCGCAUAAAUAUGCUCCUAUCAGAGCCUCAAGGCCUACACCUAAGGCCCCAUAAAGGCACCUUUCAUAAUUAACUCUGUCAUUCUCUUACAGUCCGCCAAUAACCAGAAGCCCAACAGACAAUAUCAACUGGCACCAACCUCUUGGGGAGAUGUGUGCUCGUCGGCCAGGAAAUGUCCCCAUCGGAAAUUCCUCCAGACGAACAGCUACAUUGAUCGAUUUUCAAUUUCAAGGACCAUCUUGAUUGAGUGGGUCAAUUUUAAGGACUAUUUGUGAUAAAAACCCAAUUAUAUCAUUCCUACGAACAUACUUGAUCAGAACUCUGGCAACACUUUUUACAACGCACAUUUUUUUUUUGUUUUUUUUUGAAGUAUGAACUAUUUGUUAUUAUAGGAUAGGACUGAAAUGCGAAGAAGUUAGGGAGACUUUUAGACUUUAAUAAUUUUGGUGUUUGACCUACAAAUUAAUCUGAAAGUUUUUCAUUACGUUAUCAUUGAGAUUAUAUUUUAUUUCUUAUUUAGACAUAUAAAAUUUCAAAAGAAAUUGAUAGAAGAUAACAACUUAUUCUAGGAGGGGUUUUGGUAAAGGAUUUAAGAAGAUUGGUUAGAAAAGUGCAAAAAAAAAAGAACUCUGAGGAACUAAAUUGAAAUUUUUUGAUAUUGCUCUAGACUCAGGCACAUCAAAUGCACAGAAAAUAGAGAGACAUGAAUGGGUUACGUCUUUUUGGUAGAUAUGUACUUGCUUUCAAAUCCUAAUAAUUGGCCAAAUGAAGAAGAAUUUGAAUUGCCGAAAUGAAUGUGUCGAUAUAAUUUUUUUUGCAUGUAGAUAGAAAAAAAUCUAUAAUUUUUAGUAUGUAGACUGUAUUGAUCAAAUCUUUUGUAUGUAAAAAUAUUCCUAACAUUUCAAAUAUAAAGAGUAUUAAGAUCGUUUAGUUUAAUCCCACAGCAACGCGUGGGUAGCAAUUUUUGGUGUAAUCUAUAUGACCAAUUGGAUUCGUAAAUUAAAUAGACU